AUAGCUAAGCAGUUAUAGCUAAGUCGGUUACUGUCAAAACCAGAACUCAAAGCCAAGGUCUUUGGAACCAUGAUCUGAACUUUGCUUUCUCCCAAGGAUGCUCCUUAGGGCUGGCUGUGAAACCAGAAUGAAGUCCUGGAAGACCAUAUCCUUUGGAGAGUUCUUACAGUGGGGAGGCAAGGCAGAAGGGAAGCAUGGGCAGCAGGAGAUGGAAUCUGAGAACUCAUAUCUUCAAAUGCAACAAGACCAGAGGAAGUUGAAUAUUCACCACUCUUCCGCCUUCUGCAGGAUGGGAUUGCAGUGCCUUCUAGAACAGACUUUGGGGUGAGUUUGGUGAGGAUGAUGUGUGAUGACUGUAAGGCAC